rnacentral:sRNA from 1 species
AACAGGUUGCAAACUGUCGUGUCUUAUU